GGUAUGGAUACCCCUGGGAAGUCACUGAAGGAUUUUUGGCAGAAACACUUACGGUAUUAAGAUGACACUUCUGGAAAGAUUGCUCUGGUGGUGCCCUACAGAAUGAAUUGGAGGACGGUCAGGUCAGAGGGGGCCAUUCCAAGAGUCCAGGAAAAGCUGCUUCUACUUCACUGGAUUUUCUGUUUCUCCGCUUUGACCUCACCCCCAUCUCCUGCCCCUCUCAGCUUCUUUGUGUCAGUGUCGCUUUCUGUCAGAUCACUGUCAGCGACCUGGGGAAAUGGGCAAACAAGGCCAGAGCGUGCUGCCCCUGAACCCGCUGGCGCCCGGGGAGGCCCCAGAGCGAGAGGCCGCACCCCGCCGUAAAGUGACUCAUCCAGCUCUCUGGGGACCCGUCAAAAGAGAGGAGGAGCCUUCCUGCCUGUGAAAUCGCCUCAAGAUCUCACUGAAGUGUGAUCCUAAGGGCAUGCCCCAGGAAACUUUCUGUACUCAAAUCUCCAACUCUGAGCCUGCUUCCCAGGAAGUCCUUUGUUUUCUAACCUACACUCCUGUUUUCUGAACAUAAAAGUCUCAUGCCGGGCUUCCCUGGUGGUGCAGUUGUUAAGAAUCUACCUGCCAACGCAGGGGGACACGCGUUCGA